rnacentral:rRNA from 1 species
CAAUAGCGUAUAUUAAAGUUGUUGCAGUUAAAAAGCUCGUAGUUGGAUUUCUGGUGGGAGCGAUCGGUCUGGCGCUUAGCGGGAGUACUUGCAUCGUCUCCGGCCAUCCUUGGGGAGAGUCUGUCUGGCAUUAAGUUGUCGGGCAGAGGAUCCUCAUCGUUUACUGUGAAAAAAUUAGAGUGUUCAAAGCAGGCUUAUGCCGUUGAAUAUAUUAGCAUGGAAUAAUAAGAUAGGACUUUGGUACUAUUUUGUUGGUUUGCGCACCAAAGUAAUGAUUAAUAGGGACAGUUGGGGGUAUUCGUAUUCCGUUGUCAGAGGUGAAAUUCUUGGAUUUACGGAAGACGAACUACUGCGAAAGCAUUUACCAAGGAUGUUUUCAUUAA